CCUACGGGUGGCAGCAGUGGGGAAUAUUGGACAAUGGGGGCAACCCUGAUCCAGCCAUGCCGCGUGUGUGAAGAAGGCCCUCGGGUUGUAAGGCACUUUCAGUGAGGAAGAACGCCUGGUGGUUAAUACCCAUCAGGAAAGACAUCACUCUCAGAAGAAGCACCGGCUAACUCCGUGCCAGCAGCCGCGGUAAUACGGAGGGUGCGAGCGUUAAUCGGAAUUACUGGGCGUAAAGCGCGCGUAGGUGGCUUGAUAAGCCGGUUGUGAAAGCCCCGGGCUCAACCUGGGAACGGCAUCCGGAACUGUCAAGCUAGAGUGCAGGAGAGGAAGGUAGAAUUCCCGGUGUAGCGGUGAAAUGCGUAGAGAUCGGGAGGAAUACCAGUGGCGAAGGCGGCCUUCUGGACUGACACUGACACUGAGGUGCGAAAGCGUGGGUAGCAAACAGGAUUAGAUACCCGAGUAGUC
rnacentral:rRNA from 1 species